rnacentral:rRNA from 1 species
AUUGAACGCUGGCGGCAUGCUUUACACAUGCAAGUCGAACGGUAACAGGCCGCAAGGUGCUGACGAGUGGCGAACGGGUGAGUAAUGCAUCGGAACGUGCCCAGUCGUUGGGGAUAACGCAGCGAAAGCUGUGCUAAUACCGCAUACGAUCUGUGGAUGAAAGCGGGGGACCGAAAGGCCUCGCGCGAUUGGAGCGGCCGAUGUCAGAUUAGGUAGUUGGUGGGGUAAAGGCUCACCAAGCCAACGAUCUGUAGCUGGUCUGAGAGGACGACCAGCCACACUGGGACUGAGACACGGCCCAGACUCCUACGGGAGGCAGCAGUGGGGAAUUUUGGACAAUGGGCGCAAGCCUGAUCCAGCAAUGCCGCGUGCAGGAAGAAGGCCUUCGGGUUGUAAACUGCUUUUGUACGGAGCGAAAAGGCUCUCUCUAAUACAGGGGGCUCAUGACGGUACCGUAAGAAUAAGCACCGGCUAACUACGUGCCAGCCGCCGCGGUAAUAC